rnacentral:rRNA from 1 species
GGUUAAGCGACUAAGCGUACACGGUGGAUGCCCUGGCAGUCAGAGGCGAUGAAGGACGUGCUAAUCUGCGAAAAGCGUCGGUAAGGUGAUAUGAACCGUUAUAACCGGCGAUGUCCGAAUGGGGAAACCCAGUGCAAUUCGUUGCACUAUCGUUAACUGAAUACAUAGGUUAACGAGGCGAACCGGGGGAACUGAAACAUCUAAGUACCCCGAGGAAAAGAAAUCAACCGAGAUUCCCCCAGUAGCGGCGAGCGAACGGGGAGCAGCCCAGAGUCUGAAUCAGCUUGUGUGUUAGUGGAACGGUCUGGAAAGUCCGACGGUACAGGGUGAUAGUCCCGUACACCAAAAUGCACAGGUUGUGAACUCGAAGAGUAGGGCGGGACACGUGGUAUCCUGUCUGAAUAUGGGGGGACCAUCCUCCAAGGCUAAAUACUCCUGACUGACCGAUAGUGAACCAGUACCGUGAGGGAAAGGCGAAAAGAACCCCGGCGAGGGGAGUGAAAAAGAACCUGAAACCGUGUACGUACAAGCAGUGGGAGCACCUUCGGGUGUGACUGCGUACCUUUUGUAUAAUGGGUCAGCGACUUAUAUUCUGUAGCAAGGUUAACCGUAUAGGGGAGCCGCAGGGAAACCGAGUCUUAACUGGGCGUUAAGUUGCAGGGUAUAGACCCGAAACCCGGUGAUCUAGCCAUGGGCAGGUUGAAGGUUGGGUAACACUAACUGGAGGACCGAACCGACUAAUGUUGAAAAAUUAGCGGAUGACUUGUGGCUGGGGGUGAAAGGCCAAUCAAACCGGGAGAUAGCUGGUUCUCCCCGAAAGCUAUUUAGGUAGCGCCUCGUGAACUCAUCUUCGGGGGUAGAGCACUGUUUCGGCUAGGGGGUCAUCCCGACUUACCAACCCGAUGCAAACUACGAAUACCGAAGAAUGUUAUCACGGGAGACACACGGCGGGUGCUAACGUCCGUCGUGAAGAGGGAAACAACCCAGACCGCCAGCUAAGGUCCCAAAGUCAUGGUUAAGUGGGAAACGAUGUGGGAAGGCACAGACAGCCAGGAUGUUGGCUUAGAAGCAGCCAUCAUUUAAAGAAAGCGUAAUAGCUCACUGGUCGAGUCGGCCUGCGCGGAAGAUGUAACGGGGCUAAACCAUGCACCGAAGCUGCGGCAGCGACACUAUGUGUUGUUGGGUAGGGGAGCGUUCUGUAAGCCUGCGAAGGUGACCUGUGAGGGUUGCUGGAGGUAUCAGAAGUGCGAAUGCUGACAUAAGUAACGAUAAAGCGGGUGAAAAGCCCGCUCGCCGGAAGACCAAGGGUUCCUGUCCAACGUUAAUCGGGGCAGGGUGAGUCGACCCCUAAGGCGAGGCCGAAAGGCGUAGUCGAUGGGAAACAGGUUAAUAUUCCUGUACUUGGUGUUACUGCGAAGGGGGGACGGAGAAGGCUAUGUUAGCCGGGCGACGGUUGUCCCGGUUUAAGCAUGUAGGCUGAUUGUCCAGGCAAAUCCGGAUAAUCAAGGCUGAGGUGUGAUGACGAGGCACUACGGUGCUGAAGUAACAAAUGCCCUGCUUCCAGGAAAAGCCUCUAAGCAUCAGGUAACAUUAAAUCGUACCCCAAACCGACACAGGUGGUCAGGUAGAGAAUACCAAGGCGCUUGAGAGAACUCGGGUGAAGGAACUAGGCAAAAUGGUGCCGUAACUUCGGGAGAAGGCACGCUGGUGUGUAGGUGAAGCCCCUGCGGGUGGAGCUGAGACCAGUCGAAGAUACCAGCUGGCUGCAACUGUUUAUUAAAAACACAGCACUGUGCAAACACGAAAGUGGACGUAUACGGUGUGACGCCUGCCCGGUGCCGGAAGGUUAAUUGAUGGGGUUAUCCGUAAGGAGAAGCUCUUGAUCGAAGCCCCGGUAAACGGCGGCCGUAACUAUAACGGUCCUAAGGUAGCGAAAUUCCUUGUCGGGUAAGUUCCGACCUGCACGAAUGGCGUAAUGAUGGCCAGGCUGUCUCCACCCGAGACUCAGUGAAAUUGAACUCGCUGUGAAGAUGCAGUGUACCCGCGGCAAGACGGAAAGACCCCGUGAACCUUUACUAUAGCUUGACACUGAACAUUGAGCCUUGAUGUGUAGGAUAGGUGGGAGGCUUUGAAGCGUGGACGCCAGUCUGCGUGGAGCCAACCUUGAAAUACCACCCUUUAAUGUUUGAUGUUCUAACGUUGGCCCCUGACCGGGGUUGCGGACAGUGUCUGGUGGGUAGUUUGACUGGGGCGGUCUCCUCCCAAAGCGUAACGGAGGAGCACGAAGGUUAGCUAAUCCUGGUCGGACAUCAGGAGGUUAGUGCAAUGGCAUAAGCUAGCUUGACUGCGAGCGUGACGGCGCGAGCAGGUGCGAAAGCAGGUCAUAGUGAUCCGGUGGUUCUGAAUGGAAGGGCCAUCGCUCAACGGAUAAAAGGUACUCCGGGGAUAACAGGCUGAUACCGCCCAAGAGUUCAUAUCGACGGCGGUGUUUGGCACCUCGAUGUCGGCUCAUCACAUCCUGGGGCUGAAGUAGGUCCCAAGGGUAUGGCUGUUCGCCAUUUAAAGUGGUACGCGAGCUGGGUUUAGAACGUCGUGAGACAGUUCGGUCCCUAUCUGCCGUGGGCGCUGGAGAAUUGAGGGGGGCUGCUCCUAGUACGAGAGGACCGGAGUGGACGCAUCACUGGUGUUCGGGUUGUCAUGCCAAUGGCACUGCCCGGUAGCUAAAUGCGGAAGAGAUAAGUGCUGAAAGCAUCUAAGCACGAAACUUGCCCCGAGAUGAGUUCUCCCUGAGACUUUAAGUCUCCUGAAGGAACGUUGAAGACGACGACGUUGAUAGGCCGGGUGUGUAAGCGCAGCGAUGCGUUGAGCUAACCGGUACUAAUGAACCGUGAGGCUUAACCUU